rnacentral:rRNA from 1 species
GUGAGGAAUUUUCCGCAAUGGGCGAAAGCCUGACGGAGCAAUGCCGCGUGAAGGAUGAAGGCCUAUGGGUUGUAAACUUCUUUUCUCAGAAAAGAAUUAUGACGGUAUCUGAGGAAUAAGCAUCGGCUAACUCUGUGCCAGCAGCCGCGGUAAGACAGAGGAUGCAAGCGUUAUCCGGAAUGAUUGGGCGUAAAGCGUCUGUAGGUUGUUUAAAAAGUAUUCUGUCAAAGAUUAGGGCUUAACCCUAGAUAGGCAGAAUAAACUUUUAAGCUAGCGUUUGGUAGAGGCAGAGGGAAUUCCCGGUGGAGCGGUGAAAUGCGUAGAUAUCGGGAGGAACACCAAAGGCGAAGGCACUCUGCUGGGCCAAUACUAACACUGAGAGACGAAAGCGAGGGGAGCAAAUGGGAUUAGAAACCCCAGUAGUCC